rnacentral:rRNA from 1 species
AUUGAACGCUGGCGGCAGGCUUAACACAUGCAAGUCGAGCGGGGGAAGGUAGCUUGCUACCGGACCUAGCGGCGGACGGGUGAGUAAUGCUUAGGAAUCUGCCUAUUAGUGGGGGACAACAUCUCGAAAGGGAUGCUAAUACCGCAUACGUCCUACGGGAGAAAGCAGGGGAUCUUCGGACCUUGCGCUAAUAGAUGAGCCUAAGUCGGUUUAGCUAGGUGGUGGGGUAAAGGCCUACCAAGGCGACGAUCUGUAGCGGGUCUGAGAGGAUGAUCCUCCACACUGGGACUGAGACACGGCCCAGACUCCUACGGGAGGCAGCAGUGGGGAAUAUUGGACAAUGGGGUGAACCCUGAUCCAGCCAUGCCGCGUGUGUGAAGAAGGCCUUAUGGUUGUAAAGCACUUUAAGCGAGGAGGAGGCUACUUUAGUUAAUACCUAGAGAUAGUGGACGUUACUCGCAGAAUAAGCACCGGCUAACUCUGUGCCAGCAGCCGCAGUAA